CCCUUAGAUGUUCUGGGCCGCACGCGCGCUACACUGAUGCAUUCAACGAGUCUAAAACCUGCUCUGAUAGGGGUGGGUAAUCUUUUGAAUGUGCAUCGUGAUUGGGAUAGAUGAUUGCAAUUUUUCAUCUUCAACGAGGAAUGCCUAGUAAACGCAAGUCAUCAGCUUGCAUUGAUUACGUCCCUGCCCUUUGUACACACCGCCCGUCGCUCCUACCGAUUGAAUGAUCCGAUGAAUAUCAUAGACUGAGAGUAUAAGCAGGUUCGCCCGUCUUUGCUUCUCGGGAAGUGAAGUAAAUCUUAUCAUUUAGAGGAAGGAGAAGUCGUAACA
rnacentral:rRNA from 1 species